GAGACCCACGCCAACAGUUGCCAGCUCGUCCUCCGGGGAUGGAGGGGGACACUGUUGGGACCGCCUCUGCUAAAGAGGGAGGAAGGGAAUGGGGCAACGGUAGGUCAGCAUGCCCCGAAUUAAUUGGGCUACACGCGGGCUACAAUGGGUGGGACAAUGGGUAUCGACACCGAAAGGUGAAGGCAAUCUCCUAAACCCAUCCGUAGUUCGGAUUGUGGGCUGCAACUCGCCCACAUGAAGCUGGAAUCUGUAGUAAUCGUGUUUCAAAUAGCACGGUGAAUAUGUCCCUGCUCCUU
rnacentral:rRNA from 1 species